GCGGGGGCCCGGCGGGGGAAUUCGAUUGUGCCAGCAGCCGCGGUACUCACGGAGGAUCCAAGCGUUAUCCGGAAUCAUUGGGUUUAAAGGGUCCGUAGGCGGGAUAAUAAGUCAGUGGUGAAAGUCUGCAGCUUAACUGUAGAAUUGCCAUUGAUACUGUUGUUCUUGAAUUAUUAUGAAGUGGUUGGAAUGAGUAGUGUAGCGGUGAAAUGCAUAGAUAUUACUCAGAACACCUAUUGCGAAGGCAGAUCACUAAUAAUAUAUUGACGCUGAUGGACGAAAGCGUAGGUAGCGAACAGGAUUAGAUACCCUGGUAGUCCACGCCGUAAACGAUGGAUACUAGCUGUUUGGAUUUCGGUCUGAGCGGCUAAGCGAAAGUGAUAAGUAUCCCACCUGGGGAGUACGUUCGCAAGAAUGAAACUCAAAGGAAUUGACGGGGGCCCGCAC
rnacentral:rRNA from 1 species